GACGCUGGCGGCGUGCCUAAUACAUGCAAGUCGAACGGCUUUUCUAUGGAAGCUUGCUUCCACUGAGAAGAUAGUGGCGAACGGGUGAGUAACACGUGGGUAACCUGCCCAUAAGAGGGGGGAUAACAUCCGGAAACGGGUGCUAAUACCGCAUAGUUUUCUUGAUCGCAUGAUCGGGAAAGGAAAGACGGCCUUUGUGCUGUCGCUUAUGGAUGGACCCGCGGCGUAUUAGUUAGUUGGUGAGGUAACGGCUCACCAAGACGAUGAUACGUAGCCGACCUGAGAGGGUGAUCGGCCACAUUGGGACUGAGACACGGCCCAAACUCCUACGGGAGGCAGCAGUAGGGAAUCUUCCGCAAUGGACGAAAGUCUGACGGAGCAACGCCGCGUGAGUGAAGAAAAGGUUUUCGGAUCGUAAAACUCUGUUGUCAGAGAAGAACAAGUUGGAGAGUAACUGCUCCAGCCUUGACGGUAUCUGACCAGAAAGCCACGGCUAACUACGUGCCAGCAGCGGC
rnacentral:rRNA from 1 species